rnacentral:rRNA from 1 species
GACGAACGCUGGCGGCGUGCUUAACACAUGCAAGUCGAACGCUGAAGCUUGGUGCUUGCACUGGGUGGAUGAGUGGCGAACGGGUGAGUAAUACGUGAGUAACCUGCCCUUGACUCUGGGAUAAGCCUGGGAAACUGGGUCUAAUACUGGAUACGACAUGUCACCGCAUGGUGGUGUGUGGAAAGGGUUUUACUGGUUUUGGAUGGGCUCACGGCCUAUCAGCUUGUUGGUGGGGUAAUGGCUCACCAAGGCGACGACGGGUAGCCGGCCUGAGAGGGUGACCGGCCACACUGGGACUGAGACACGGCCCAGACUCCUACGGGAGGCAGCAGUGGGGAAUAUUGCACAAUGGGCGGAAGCCUGAUGCAGCGACGCCGCGUGAGGGAUGACGGCCUUCGGGUUGUAAGCCUCUUUCAGCACGGAAGAAGCGAAAGUGACGGUACGUGCAGAAGAAGCGCCGGCUAACUACGUG